rnacentral:rRNA from 1 species
GACGAACGCUGGCGGCGUGCUUAACACAUGCAAGUCGAACGGAAAGGCCCUGCUUUGGUGGGGUGCUCGAGUGGCGAACGGGUGAGUAACACGUGAGUAACCUGCCCUUGACUGUGGGAUAACUUCAGGAAACUGGGGCUAAUACCGGAUAGGAGCUCCUGCUGCAUGGUGGGGGUUGGAAAGUUUCGGCGGUUGGGGAUGGACUCGCGGCUUAUCAGCUUGUUGGUGGGGUAGUGGCUUACCAAGGCUUUGACGGGUAGCCGGCCUGGGAGGGUGACCGGCCACAUUGGGACUGCGAUACGGCCCAGACUCCUACGGGAGGCAGCAGUGGGGAAUAUUGCACAAUGGGGGGAAGCCUGAUGCAGCAACGCCGCGUGCGGGAUGACGGCCUUCGGGUUGUGAACCGCUUUCGCCUGUGACGAAGCGUGAGUGACGGUAAUGGGUAAAGAAGCACCGGCUAACUACGUG